rnacentral:lncRNA from 1 species
GUGUAAUGACCCGCGUUUCGCGGCGGGGGUCGUAACGUUGAGAGCUAAUAAUAUAACUUUCAUUAUAUUUAUUUAUCACGAAACAUACAUACAUACAUACAUACAUACAUAUAUAUAUAUAUAUAUAUAUCUAUACUAUAUAUAAAAGCGUAUAGGAAUUCCGACAAUGACAGACGGAAUCCAAAAAGGAAUAAAAUAAUAUUCCCUAUGAAUGGUUAUGUUUAAUUUGUUAAAAAUAUCUCAAAUAAAAAUUAACGGUUAUGAUCAAUCUAUUAAAUAUAAAAUAAUAUUCCCUACGAAUGAUUAUGAUUAAUUUGUUAAAAAUAUGUCAAAUAAAAACGAACGGUUAUGAUCAAUCUAUUAAAAUUCUACUACAUAUAAAAAUCUAUUCCCUAUAAAUGGUUAUGAUCAAUUUGUUAAAAAAAUAUCUCAAAUAAGAACAGUUAUAAUCAAUCUAUUAAAAAAUAGUAUUCGCAUCCAUGUAUAAAUUCAAUCCUAUUAUAAUCAAUUUGUUAAAAAAUAUCUCAAAUUAAAACAAACGGUUAUGAUCAAUUUGUUAAAAAAUAGCAUUUCUAUUAAUAUAUUUUACAUUAAAAUUAAAAUUUGAGUUUAAAUUAUGAAUUAAAUUUAAUUUUUUGAUAUCAAAUUUGAAUUAAUAAUUUAUUUUUUAUUAUCGUGGAUCAAAAUUAAAUUUUAAAUUUUAAAUUAAAUGUGAAUUAAAUUUUGAUGUUUUUAGUUUAAAAUACAUAUUUAAAUUUGAUUCAUCAAAAAUCAAAAAGUAUAUAAAAAUAUUCGAUGUAUAUAAAUAAAAGAACACGGUAGGAUAUUAUAAAUAUUUUCUAAUAAAAUAUAACAUAUUAAUUUAUAAAUAUAAUUUUUAUUGUAAAAUUUUGGAUAUAUAUAAUGUACAAAUUUAUAUUGAUUUGAAAUAAAUUAUAAUAAUUGUUACGUGCAUUUGCACGUACAUUC